AGCAGCCGCGGUAAUUCCAGCUCCAAUAGCGUAUAUUAAAGUUGUUGCAGUUAAAAAGCUCGUAGUUGAAUUUCGGAAUCAAUAUAUCGGUCGUGCCUUGGUACGUACUGGUAUCAUUGGUUUCUCCUUUCUGACGAACCAUGAUGUCAUUAAUUUGGUGUUAUGGGAAGUUAGGACUGUUACUUUGAAAAAAUUAGAGUGUUUAAAGCAGGCUUUAGCUUGAAUACAUUAGCAUGGAAUAAUGAAAUAGGACGUUCGAACCUAUUUUGUUGGUUUCUAGGAUCAACGUAAUGAUUAAUAGGGAUAGUUGGGGGCAUUAGUAUUCAAUUGUCAGAGGUGAAAUUCUUGGAUUUAUUGAAGACUAACUACUGCGAAAGCAUUUGCCAAGGAUGUUUUCAUUAAUCAAGAACGAAAGUUAGGGGAUCGAAGACGAUCAGAUACCGUCGUAGUCUUAACCAUAAACUAUGCCGACUAGGGAUCGGAUGAUGUUAAUUUUUUAUGACUCAUUCGGCGCCUUACG
rnacentral:rRNA from 1 species